rnacentral:rRNA from 1 species
AGUGAACGCUGGCGGUAGGCCUAACACAUGCAGGUCGAACGGCAGCACAGUAAGAGCUUGCUCUUACGGGUGGCGAGUGGCGGACGGGUGAGGAAUACAUCGGAAUCUACUUUUUCGUGGGGGAUAACGUAGGGAAACUUACGCUAAUACCGCAUACGACCUACGGGUGAAAGCAGGGGAUCUUCGGACCUUGCGCGAUUGAAUGAGCCGAUGUCGGAUUAGCUAGUUGGCGGGGUAAAGGCCCACCAAGGCGACGAUCCGUAGCUGGUCUGAGAGGAUGAUCAGCCACACGGGAACUGAGACACGGUCCAGACUCCUACGGGAGGCAGCAGUGGGAAAUAUUGGACAAUGGGCGCAAGCCUGAUCCAGCCAUACCGCGUGGGUGAAGAAGGCCUUCGGGUUGUAAAGCCCUUUUGUUGGGAAAGAAAAGCAGCAGGUUAAUACCCCGCUGUUCUGACGGUACCCAAAGAAUAAGCACCGGCUAACUUCGU